rnacentral:lncRNA from 1 species
UAGUGGGCUUUGAUGGUCCCUGAAGACCAGGAAGUCCUUCUGGCCCCCGAGUUUCCAGGAUCCUACCUUAGCUUCCCUCACUGGAUCUCCUUUUCAGGCAUGGCGGAGUAAGAAUCUUCUCUCUGGAACAUUUGUGGGCAAGAGGACAAAGCCAUGUCAGGAACGCUGCCCGUCUCCUUCCAGGCUGUGUGAGAGUGGGAAGAACUCUCUAUUUUGGUCUCGCUCCU